CCUUCGAUAGCUCAGUUGGUAGAGCGGAGGACUGUAGAUCCUUAGGUCGCUGGUUCAAAUCCGGCUUGAAGGA
rnacentral:tRNA from 3 species